AGAGAAAUUAGGAUAACAAUUGAAAUAAACAGGGCCUCCUGCUAAAUUACUUUUUUUAUAUUCCAAAAGGCAGUAGGAAGAUUUGAACAAACUACGUAGUUGGAAGAAUUGUAACAAGGUUUUAUUAAGUCUUGGACUCGACCGGAUUCAAACUCUUUAUCAAGGGCUAGUAUGGGAGAAACCUUAGUGGUUAAGAAUUCAAAAGACUCAAUGGGCUGAGAAGAGGAAUUUUUGAUUUGGACUUUUGGGUCCACAGCUUGGGCAAAAGACUCGGGGAUCUUCAUUUCAUAACUAAGUUUAUUCUGGACCUUGGAAGUGGAUCCAGAGGAUGAUUCAGGCUUUGGGCCUGGGAAUUUUGGAAGUUCUCCUAGAACAGUAAAUUUGUUUUGGCUUUGGGCCGGACUGGGAAGAGGAGG
rnacentral:lncRNA from 1 species